AUUGAACGCUGGCGGCAGGCCUAACACAUGCAAGUCGAACGAGUGGCGGACGGGUGUGGAACGUCUGGGAACCUGCACGAUGGCGGGGGAUAACUACUGGAAACGGUAGCCAAUACGGCAUAGCAUCGGAUGUGACCAGAGUGGAUUAUCUAGUGGGUGGGGUAACGGCUCACCUAGGCGACGAUCCCUAGCUGGUCUGAGAGGAUGACCAGCCACACUGGAACUGAGACACGGUCCAGACUCCUACGGGAGGCAGCAGUGGGGAAUAUUGCACAAUGGGCGCAAGCCUGAUGCAGCCAUGCCGCGUGUAUGAAGAAGGCCUUCGGGUUGUAAAGUACUGUCAGCGGGGAGGCGUUACUCGCAGAAGAAGCACCGGCUAACUCCGUGCCAGCAGCCGCGGUAAUAC
rnacentral:rRNA from 1 species